ACGAAGGAUUCGAGCGUUAUCCGGAUUUAUUGGGUUUAAAGGGUGCGUAGGUGGACUAAUAAGUCAGUGGUGAAAGCCCGCAGCUUAACUGCGGAACUGCCAUUGAUACUGUUAGUCUUGAGUACAGUUGAGGUGGGCGGAAUGUGUCAUGUAGCGGUGAAAUGCUUAGAUAUGACAUAGAACACCAAUUGCGAAGGCAGCUCACUACGCGAAUAUUGACACUGAGGCACGAAAGCGUGGGGAUCAAACAGGA
rnacentral:rRNA from 1 species